GAAAACCACGGUGGUACAGGAUGGGCCCGCGUCUGAUUAGUUAGUUGGCAGGGUAACGGCCUACCAAGACAACGAUCAGUAGCCGGCUUGAGAGAGUGGACGGCCACAUUGGGACUGAGACACGGCCCAGACUCCUGCGGGAGGCAGCAGUGGGGAAUAUUGCACAAUGGGGGGAACCCUGAUGCAGCAAUGCCGCGUGGGUGAAGAAGCACUCCGGUGCGUAAAGCCCUGUCAGCAGGGAAGAAAAUGACAGUACCUGGACAAGAAGCCCCGGCUAACUACGUGCCAGCAGCCGCGGUAAUACGUAGGGGGCAAGCGUUAUCCGGAUUUACUGGGUGUAAAGGGAGCGCAGGCGGCGUGGCAAGUCAGAUGUGAAAACCCGGGGCCCAACCCCGGGAGUGCAUUUGAAACUGCCAUGCUGGAGUGCCGGAGAGGUAAGCGGAAUUCCUAGUGUAGCGGUGAAAUGCGUAGAUAUUAGGAGGAACACCAGUGGCGGAGGCGGCUUACUGGACGGUAACUGACGCUGAGGCUCGAAAGCGUGGGGAGCAAACAGGAUUAGAUACCCUGGUAGUCCACGCCGUA
rnacentral:rRNA from 1 species